rnacentral:lncRNA from 1 species
AUAACAUGUCAUUAUUGUCCAAACAUGUAAUUGAUGACUGAGAAAAGAAAGAUAACCUCUUCUCAGUUUGGUCAGUCAACAGUAAGGAGUCAAGUAAAUGACACAUUCUAACACGGGAUAGAGAGCAAUAAGCUCAUCAAUCCAAUUUCCUGUUCCUGAGCACACAGGAACAUUUCGAUUCCUCGUUAGGUUGGAGUCACAUGACAGAGUUCCGGCCAAAAAAAUUAAGACAGAGGGAUAUAAGCCAUUUCUAGUCCCACCACUUAAAAACAUCUUAAAUAAUACUCCAGCUUUCGCUUUCCCUUCCACAGUGAGUUCAGAUGCCACUGGUUUAAGAUUUCAGAAUCACAAAAUGGAAGGAGUUUGGGUUCCUGAGUCACCAGUUGGAAGAGAGCCUCCAAGGAGGGCUGCCAGACUUGCACUGGACAGUGACAUGAGGGAGAAAUAAACCUACAUCCGGAAGCAAAGACUCUAAGAUGAAAGAGCCACAUGAGGG